UACGUAGGGGGCAAGCGUUGUCCGGAAUCAUUGGGCGUAAAGCGCGCGUAGGCGGCCCUGUAAGUCCGUUGUGAAAGUCAAAGGCUCAACCUUUGAAAGCCGAUGGAUACUGCAGGGCUAGAGUCCGGAAGAGGCGAGUGGAAUUCCUGGUGUAGCGGUGGAAUGCGCAGAUAUCAGGAGGAACACCAAUAGCGAAGGCAGCUCGCUGGGACGGUACUGACGCUCAGGCGCGAAAGCGUGGGGAGCGAACAGG
rnacentral:rRNA from 1 species